rnacentral:rRNA from 1 species
ACCAGACUCCUACGGGAGGCAGCAGUGGGGAAUAUUGCACAAUGGGGGGAACCCUGAUGCAGCGACGCCGCGUGAGUGAAGAAGUAUUUCGGUAUGUAAAGCUCUAUCAGCAGGGAAGAAAAUGACGGUACCUGACUAAGAAGCCCCGGCUAACUACGUGCCAGCAGCCGCGGUAAUACGUAGGGGGCAAGCGUUAUCCGGAUUUACUGGGUGUAAAGGGAGCGUAGACGGUGAUGCAAGUCAGAAGUGAAAGCCCGGGGCUCAACUCCGGGACUGCUUUUGAAACUGUGUAACUGGAGUGCAGGAGAGGUAAGCGGAAUUCCUGGUGUAGCGGUGAAGUGCGUAGAUAUCAGGAGGAACCCCAGUGGCGAAGGCGGCUUACUGGACUGUAACUGACGUUGGGGCUCGAAAGCGUGGGGAGCAAACAGGAUUAGAUACCCGCGUACG